AGCUUGAUAGCUCAGUUGGUAGAGCAUGAGACGGAUGAACCCACGGUCGUGGGUUUGAGCCCCAUGUUAGGCAA